UGAGCAACCUGCCCUUGACCCUGGAAUAACAGCUGGAAACAGCUGCUAAUACCGGAUACGACCUCCGAUGGCAUCAUCUGGAGGUGGAAAGCUCCGACGGUCAAGGAUGGGCUCGCGGCCUAUCAGCUUGUUGGUGAGGUAACGCUCACCAAGGCUUCGGACGGGUAGCCGGCCUGAGGAGGGCGACCCGGCCACACGUGGGACUGAGAUACGGUCCAGACUCCGUAGGGACGG
rnacentral:rRNA from 1 species